UGGUGGUGCCUGCUUCCGAGGGCUUUGUUCGGCUUUCAGAUCUCGGUGUUGAAAGUGAGCGUUAGUCCCGUCUCAGAGCAGCCUAGAAGAAGGGACGAGUGAGCUGCACACCGACACGCUGAGACCCCCAGGAACUCAGGAUCUGAGAAAUUAAGUGUCAGGACCGAGAUAUAACCAGAAAUGGCCUCACCGGGACCUGACAGUCUGUAGAGGAGCCCAUGGCCUAACCCCCAGGCCAUCCUGCCUCCCGGGUAGGUGCCAUUGUGCCCGAAUGUCCAGGGGGAUCUGUAGAAAGGGACCCAAGCCAGCACAGUCCAAGUCCAAGCUGGAGGAAGCUGCAGAAAGAGCAGUCCACAGGACGGCCGUCACAGAUGCAAGAAGAUGAAAAGGAAUAUUCAUUCACAAGGAAAAGGAGCAACAAGAGAAUAAAAAGAUCAGAGCACGCCCCUCGCCCAUGAUGGGACAAUAAUUGCUGAGGGCAGAGUUAGACAGUGAGAGAGAGAGACAAAGAGAAAGGUCUUCCUUUCGUUGAUUCACCCCUCAAGUGGCCGCUAUAGCCAAUGCGCUGCGCCGAUCCGAAGCCAGGAGGACUGGAAGAGGAGCAACCAGGACAGAAUCUGGCGCCCCAACCGGGACUAGAACUCGGGGUGCUGGCGCCGCAGGCAGAGGAUUAGCCUAUUGAGCCACGGCGCCAGCACCCCUUCACUUUCACGCUUUCUCCCCUUGAAGUCCAUUCUCUUUCCAUGGGCUCCUUCCUUCUGUUCCUUUUUAUUCUGACCUCCCUGAGACAGCCUGUCCAAAAUCCCUUCUUAUUUCUGACCCGAACCUCAGCAGUCUUCAGCUACAACAUUUGGAUGAUAUAGUCUAGACUCUUUACGGCCUGAGAUAACAUGUUUGAGGUCCUUGCAUUUACUGGACACUAUCAAUUUGAAACAUCAAUCUGUGCAUUUUGUGCUCUCCGUCUGUGUUAUAUAAUUUUGUUAACUCUCCCAGAAUCAUGUUUCCCUUGCCCCAAAACCUUGCUGCAUGCACUUCAGUAACAAUUAAAAUGGACACAUUUUCUUAUAUUGCUUUUCUGAGGGCAAACUGAGAUAUGACUAGGGGCUACUGAGUGGUACAUUUUCAAAAAGUAGUGUAAAACGCACAAACUCCUUUUAUCUUUAUUUAUUUAUUAAGAAUUAUUUUUAUUUAUUUGAAAGGCAGAGCGGCAGAGAGAGAGAGGAAAAAGACAUAGACACAGAUCUUCCAUCUGCUGUCUCGCUUCCCAAAUGGCCACAAAGUUAGGGGCUAGGUCAGGCUGAAACCAGGAGCCAGGAACUCCACCCAGGUCUUCCGUGUGGGUGGCAGGGAUACAAGCAUUUGAGCCAUUUUCCAGUGCCUUCCCAGGUGCAUUAUCAAGGAGCUGGAUUGGAAGUGGAACAGUUGGGACCUGAACCAGCGCUCCAAUAUAGGAUGCCAGCAUUGCAGGCAACAGCUUUACCCACUGUGCCACAGCACCAGCCCAGGAAAUUAUCCAUGAUUUAUUUGCAAUCCUGGCUAGACACAGUUCCACAAAUCCAAAAUCUAAAUGAUUACUUAGUCCUUUAAAUGUGUUCUUCAAUUUAUAAGCCAGGAAAUCAAAAUAAUUUUCAGGAUGAUACAAUUAAAAAGGCAGUGGGUUCCAUGGAACUGUGCAGCUCAAGGAGUAAAGUCUAAUGUGACCCAUGGACCUCAGGGAACAAAUGUUCCACACUGGUGUAAAAACAUUCAGUGAGGGCUGGCAGAGGGAGCACUCGGGAUCUUUCCUGUAAACCUAAUUCUGCUCUGAAAGAUUCAGUCUAUUUUUUAAGAAGUUUUGUAUCUUAUUUUAUGUUGUAUAUGCCAUUUAAGAAAUCGUUGCCUCCUCAGUGCAAUUUUACCCUAUAAUUCCUAUGAAAAUUUGGGGUCGCACUAUAGCUCAGACUGCAAUGUCCAGCAACUCUUAUUGGAGUGCUGGUGUGAGUCCAAGCUAUGUGCCAACAGAAAAAUUUAAAUAUGUUUAAUACUUAAUUGGUGUUAGUAUGGCCUCUCUCCUUUUUUUUUUUUUAGAUUUAUUUUAUUUAUUUUAAAUACGGAGUUACAGAGAGAGGUAGAGACAGAGAGAGAGGUCUUCAUGCACUGGUACACUCCCCAGAUGGCUGCAAUGGCUGGAGCUGUGCUGAUCCAAAGCCAGGAGCCAGGAGCUUCUUCUGGGUCUUCCCUGUGGGUGCAGGGCUCAAGGACUUGGGUCACCUUCUAUUGCUUUCCCAGGCCAUAGCAGAGAGCUUGAUCGGAAGAGGAACAGCCGGGACUUGAAACAAUGCCCAUAUGGGAUGCCAGCUCUUCAGGCCAGGGCUUUAACCCACUGUGCCACAGCGCUGGCCCCAAUACAGUCUCUUUAGAAAAUUUUUUUCUAUCCAAUUGCUAGAAGCUUACAUUCAUUCAUUGCAAGGUAGACAUGUUAUACUACAAACCCAAACUUCAUUUUGGACAAUUUGAUUUUAUGUCAGUCCUGCGAAACUUUCAACUUUGUUGAUGUCCAACAAACUAUCCAAGAAAGAAUACCUAUUUCAUAAGUGAAAUAACAUGAUGUCCUUUCCCUACUGACCAAAGACAAUUCUUAAAAUUCUUAGUAUGCAAGAUAAGAACCUACCUGCCCCGUCAUCUUGGGCAACAUAUUUCUUUCUUGGCUUCAACUUCCUCAUUUGUAAUACAGUGAUAGCAUAUAAAGACUAGUCAGAUAUUUUAUUUUAUUUUAUUUUAUUUUUUGAUAGGCAGAGUGGACAGUGAGAGAGAGAGAGAGAGAGAGAGAGAGAAACAGAGAGAAAGGUCUUCCUUUGACGUUGGUUCACCCUCCAAUGGCUGCUGUGGCCAGCACGCUGCGGCCAGCGCACCGCGCUGAUCCGAUGGCAGGAGCCAGGUGCUUCUCCUGGUCUCCCAUGGGGUGCAGGGCCCAAGUACUCGGGCCAUCCUCCACUGCACUCCCUGGCCACAGCAGAGAGCUGGCCUGGAAGAGGGGCAACCGGGACAGAAUCCGGCGCCCCGACCAGGACUAGAAACCGGUGUGCCGGCGCCGCAAGGCGGAGGAUUAGCCUAGUGAGCCGCAGUGCCAGCUAGAUCAUAUAUUUUAAAUCACAACUCUUCAAGAAUAGAUUUAUUAUAAAUUAAUACACACAGAUCUACAGACAAAUGGUCUUUGACAACGGUGCCAAAAGCAUAUUCUGGGGAAAGGGCAUUUACUGGAUAAAGAGAAGUCUCUUCAGUAAAUAUUGAUGGAAAACUGGCUAUCUAUUGACCCUUAACUAUCACUCUCUAUAAAAAUAAACUCAAAAUGGAUCAAAGAUCCAAAUGUAAGACCUAAAACUGUGAAACUACUAGAAGAAAACAGGGAAAGCAUUUAAAGACAUUGCACAGGCAAUGACUUUUUUCCCAUCAGGCUCCAAAAGCAUGGGCAAUGAAAGCAAAAAUAGACAAAUGUGAUUCUACCAAACUAAGAAGCAUCUGCACAGUGAAAGAAACAACCAACAAAGUGACGUGACACCCAACCAACAGAAUGAGAGAAAAUAUUUGCAUACUAUGCAUCUGACAAAGGAUUAAUAUCCAGAAUUUAUAAGAAACUGAAAAACAGCAACAAACACUGAAAACAAGCAUUUCAGUUAAGCACUGUGCAAAGGGAGACAGGCGUUGCAGCACAGUGGGUUAAAUGGCCACUGUGAUGCCUGGUUUUCCACACUGAAACACUGGUUUGAGUCCUGGCACUUCUGCUUCUGAUCCAGCUCCCUACUAAUGCAUCCUGGGAGGCCAAAUUUGUUGGGUCAGUGCUUGAAUCCCUGCCACCCAUAGGGGACCCAGAUGGAGUUCCAGGCUCCUGGCUUCAGCCUGGCCCAGGCCUCAGUGUUGUAGGCAUUUAGGGAGUGAACCAGCCAAUGGAAAAAUCUCUCUGUAUCUCUGCUUUUUGAGCAGAUAAAAAUAAAAAAGUAUUUUUGAAGGUUUAUUUAUGUAUUUGAAAGGCAGAACAUAACAGGCAGAGAGAGGGAGAUCAUUCUUGCACCUACCAGUCCACUCUGUAAAUGACCAUAACAGCCAAUUCUGGGCCAGGCCAAAGCCAGGAGGACAGGAUUCUAUCCGGUUCUCCUACUUGGGCAGCAGGGGCUCAAGCACUUGGGUCAUCAUUGGCUGCCCUCCUAGGCACAUUAGCAGGAAGCUAGAUGGGAAGUGGAGUAGCUGGGACUCGAACCAGAACUCCAAUAAGAGUUGCUGACAUUGCAGGCUGAGCUACAAUGCAAUCCCAAAUAAACAUUUUUUAAGGAAAUGGUAGAGACAUCUUUUUUAAAAAAAGAUUUUAUUUAUUUAUUUGAGAGGCAGAGUUACAGAUAGAAAAAGAUCUUCUAUCCACUGGUUCACUCCCCGAAUGGCCGUAACAUCUAGUGCUGGGCAGAUUCGAAACCAGGAGCCAGGAGCUUCUUCCAGGACUUUGAUGUGGGUACAGGGGCCCAAGGACUUGGGCCAUCUUCCACUGCUUUCCCAGGCCAUAGCAGAGAGCUGGAUCAGAAUUGGAGCAGCCGGGACUUGAACCAGUGCCCAUAUGGGAUGCUGGUAUUGCAGGCAGAGGUUUAGUUUACUAUGCCACAGCAUUGUCCCCUAGAAAUUUUUUAAAAAAGAUGUCUAUAUUAAAAAAGAGCAAGGGAUCUGACAUUUCCCAGAAGAAGAAAUAUAAACACCAACAAACGCAUGAAUAAAAUGCUCAAUAUCACCACUGUUCCCCUUAACAAUGUACAAGCUUUGGGUAUUCAUCAAAAAUUUUAAAAAUCAAAUAAAUUAUAUGACCAACUACUCAACAAGAAUAAUGUAUUAUGCACGUGAUAACUGUGAUCUGUUAAUGUGUUUCUUUGCUCUCAGUGUGUUGGGGAAAUUUGCAUCUGAUGGUUGUUCUCAUUCUGGUUGACUCUGUAUCCCUGCCCUUGAAAUAUACUAUUCAGGUGGAACCCCCUGGACCCCCGAUUAAAUCCCAGGAACUUUAUAAGAAGAGGGAGAGAGACCCACACAGACAUACUCACAUGCUCCCUGCUCUGUCACACCUGACGCCUUGCACCACCUCAAGACUGCCAGUCAGAUGUGGCCCCUUGACCUUGGACAUCCAGAGCUGUGAGCCAAAAUACACCUCUCUUCCCUCAAACUUACCCAAUCUAUAGCAUUGUAUUGUUAAUAACAGAAAACGUACUAAUAUGCUAUCGCACUGGAAAUUCCUUAACUCCCUGAUGCUGCCGUUACUUUAUUUCGCUGUUCCUCCCUUGGCUCUCCCGCUCUUGGAGUGGGAUCUGUUCUCCACUGAGGCCAACUCCCUCUUCCUCAGGUGUGUGGCCUUUUGUCUCUGCCAGGGCUUUAUCCGUCCAUUUUCUGCUCUCUUUAUUCUCUCUCUCCUACUCCAUAGAGUCUUGUUUCUCCUACUUGAUACCUGCUUAAGUCCACCUAGAUUCAAUAGAACUUCUCUUAAACUCGGUUUCCUAGCCCAAUAAAUACAGGUUUAAAAUCCCUAAUCUGAAUAUCCAAGAUCUGAAAUGUUCCAGAAUCUGGAACUUUUUGAGUGCCAACAUGAUGCUACAAGUAGAAGAUUCCACACGUGAUGGGUCUCCGUCAAAAUUCAAACACAUUAAAAAUAUUACAUAACAUUACCUCCAGAUUAUACGUGUUAUGUGUAAGUGUGUAUCAAAAAUAAAUGAAUUCAGAUUUAGACUUGGGUCCCAUCCCCAAGAUAUCUCACCAUCUUCCCGAAGCUGGAAAAACUCUUAAAUCCAAAACGCUUCUGGUCCCAAGCAUUUCAGAGGCAGUAUUCUCAACCUGUCCUGUUUCUAGUUUUCUCUCGACUACCAGCCUUCGUAAAAGCUUAAUCUAUAACCAUUCCUUCUGUGUCAGCAUGAAGCCUUCUCCUCUCACUGGUGGCAAAGUCUUUCAUGUUUCCACUGAGUCAAAAUGUCAGAGGUCAGCUAUACCUAAUGCUUAUUCAUCUCUUCUUAGUUCGCAAAGGCCUCCACCUGACUGUGUGCAGGAUCCUGGAUUGCUAGCUUCCUUCCUACAAAUGCUUUAUGUUCCCCUUUUGUUCUCACUUUAAUUUAGAAUGCCUUUUUGUAUUUACAUAUCCUUGAGUUAUCUGAGACUCUUUUGACCACAGGCAAAAUAUUUUUUAAAAAUUUCUGAUCUCAGUAUGAGGAAACUGGCAUCAUAAAAGGGAUUCAGAUGAUGACAACCAUUUAGUGAUAGAUACAGGAUUUAAAUUCAGAUUUUCCAACCCCAAAUUUAGUACAUUUCCACAAAAUCAUGGAAUUUCCACAAUAGCUGGCCUGUGUCUCUUUCUUUCUAAUUUAGGGGCUGGGGUAAAACUCAGACCUUUGUUUUUCAUUUCUUUCUAAAAGAUCUGACAUUUCUCAUGUUUUCCAUUUAUUCUGAAAUCAACCUUCAAAAUUGCAACCAUAGCAAUUCUCUGUGAAAUAGUUUCCUAUUUACCUGUGAAUUCUGAAUUUCUUAACACAAAGUUCAAGGCCAUCUGUCAGCUUCUAACUUAUCUCUCCUCUGUUACCAAUCCAUUCAUUGGGCCAAUGUUUAUUGAGUAUCUUUUACAUGUCAGGGAAUGUUCUGGGUGCUGGGAAUACAUGUAUAAACAAGGCCCUCAAGAUUCCUGUUUCUCUUGGAGUUAGCAUUUUCAUUCCUUGUUCUCUAGUUUAUUGAAAGAUUUGCCACCUUUGAAACUAUGAUUUUUCUCACGUUUGUCUCAACUAUCUGGUAUACCUCUUUCUUCAGUGCUCAAUUCAAAUUGCCACACUCAACAGGAGAAUUUUUUGAUCAAUUUUUUCCCCAAUAUACUGUCAUGUUUAGAUUCUUUAGCUCUACACAAGUCCUUUUUUUCAUUUAUUCCUGUAAAGGUGUAAAAGCAUGUUUCCCUAUCUUUCAUGUUCAUUAGUAAGUAACUGAAGGAUGAAUGUCAUGGUAUAUUCCUCCCUAUUCACCCUUCUCAUGGAACUUUGCACAUAGUGGCCGUUUAAUUGAAGUUCAUUUGCUGUAGAAAUGUUUUUUUCCCAAAGAUUUUUGGAAUAAAUCUUUUUUUUUUUAAAUUGUCUAUUUAUUUUUGUUUAUUUGAGAGAGAGAGUGUGUGUGCUUGGCUCCGCUGGCUCAUUCCUCAAAUGCCUACAAGGGCUGAGGCUCAGCCAAAUUCACAAACUCAACCCAGGUCUCCCAUAUGGGUGGCAAAGACACAACACCUGAGCCAUCAGCUGCUGCCUCCCAGGGUGCACAUUAGCAGGAAGCUGGAAUCAGGAGUGGAGCCAGGAUUCAAACCAGGGUAUGCUGAUGUGCCUUGCUGAGAGAUAACCCAUUUCUUAACCUGUAGACCAAAUGCCCACCCCGGGAGCAUAUCAUUUUUACCUGAACUUGUGUGUGUAUUUUAAAUUAAUGUAUAAUUUUUAAAAUGAAAGUUUAAAGUGCCAGAUGGUGAUAAGGCAUGUUAAAGAUUAAAAAAUUUCUUGCCACAUCCAUUCCUUUCUCAUUUCCUAGAUGAAAAUAUUUUCAAGUCUGUACCAGUUCUUUAAUGGUUACAUUUUUAUGUCUAACUACCAUAAGUAUGUGUGUUGCUAACUUGACUACAAUUUUAGACAGGCUCCAUUGACUCCUGACUCUGAAACACAAGACACUGGCCCUCUUUCAUCACUACUCCCUCUGUGCCCCUUUUCAUUGCCCAUCCCCCAAUGAGCCUGUGGAGAAUGUAGAUUUUGUUGGGUACGUUGUCACUAUGACUGUGUGUGCUGUUAGGGACAGGACUCAUAGCUAAGCCAUGUAGUAUACUACGAUCAUUUUUCCCUUUUGCAUUUCCCCAGAGAAAAUAAUUGCUUGGUUUGUAUAUUUGCUUGGCCUUCUACAAACUUAUUAAUUCAGCCUCAGAUGGAUAAAUUUCACCAUUACACUCAAACUCAUUCGAUACAGAAUAAAUUUUGUCUUAUGGAAUUGCUCUCUCAGCGCUUUUUGAUCUACAGUCUCAGGAGUCACAUGCUAGGCCUGACUUGUCCUUUUUCAAGAGGUCACGUUCCCCAUGUUCCUGGGAGUUGCCUUCCCCUGUUUCUUAUGUGGGACACCAUUUCCUGGACCCCAAGGCUUCCUCUGUCUGCGUUUGCCCCCUCAUUUCAGGAGUGCCAUUUCAGAUAGUCCAGAGAAGAACUAAGAAAGAGUUCUGGGAAACAAAAAUUAUUUGAGAAAUUGUACACAGGAGAAUGUCUUUAUUCUACCUUCACUCUUCGUUUAUAACUUGGCUGGCUAGAGAAUUAUAGAUUGGAAAGAUUUUGUCCACAGAAUUUUGAAGGCAUUAAACUCAUUGUUUCUAGCUUCCAGCAUUGCUACUGAUUAAUUUCAUCCCACCCUGAAUCUUGAUUCUUUCAUGAAAUCUCUUUUUUCUAGAAGGUCACAGCACAUUCUCUCUAUCUCAGAGCUUUGGAAUUUCACAAUGAUGCUAAUUUUUUUUAUUAUAAUUGCUGGUACUGGCCUCUUGGUGGUUUAAUUUGAUCUAAAAAUUCAUGUCCUGUCAUUCGGUAAAAUAUUGUUGUUAUUCCAUUGAUGAUUUCCUGUCAUUUGGGAAAAUAUUGUUGAGUUAUUCUGUUGAUGAUUUCCUCUCAUUUUCUGUCUUUGUAGAACUCCUAGGCUGUUGGACCUCCUGGGCAUGUUCUCUGUUUUUCUUAUCUUUUAUCCUCAAUUUUCUAUUUUUUCUCCUCUUUUGGAAAAUUCAUUUUUCUUCCAAUUGUUCUAUUGAGUUUUUCAUUUCUGUGACUCUGUCUUUACUUUAUAAGGGUUCUUUACCUACACAAUAUUCUUUUUUUUUCUAAACCAGCAUCUUUUUCUUAUUUGAAUGUUUUAAUCCUAGUAUUUGAGCUUUAUUCUCAGUUUUUAUAUUUUUAUAUUCAGUCUCUCACUGGAAUCAGGGAUGAGCGAUCCUCGUCCUACUCCCAAUGGCACUCUCAAAGCUGAUUGCAAGAGGAAUGUGUGGUUCCUUUUCGUUGACCAGGGACUUCAGUGUCUGCUGACCUGGGUUUGUUCUUCCUUGUCGAGCUCUCAGAAUCAGCAUUGUCAGAUCUUUUCUCUUGGGCAGUCUAAUUUCCCCGAGAAACCUGCAGAUCACCAGCCUGGGGGAUGUGUACAUGGCAACCAGUGUUCCAGGCCACAAGUGGGCAGGGAAUAAUGCCAGUGUUAGCACUUAGUAUGCAAGGGCAGUGCCCUUGUCUUCAGCGCUGUAGCCUCUGGGCGUCUGUUUCCAGGAAAUAGAUCUCAGUUUUUCUGCUGGGGUCAGUGGUCAACUUGUUACAGCGGCCUGAGGGAGGAGACCUGGAGGUCCUGGGGCUUCCUAACCAACACCAGCUGCCACAGGACCUCCAAAAGUACCUGAUGACCUCCCUUCCUGGGCCUUCUUUUUUUCAAUUACUUACUCAUUUGUUUGAAAGACACACAGAGAAACAGAUUUCCUAUCCUCUGGUUCAUUUCCCAAAUGGCUGCAAUAGUCAGGGCUGGGCUAGGCCAAAGGUGGGAGCCGGGAACUCAACCCAGGUCUCUCCGAGGGUGGCAGGAACCCAACUACUUGGACCUGCACUACUACCUCCCAGGUGCCUCUAGUAGGAAGCUGGGAUCAGCAUGGGAGCUGGGAUUUGAAUCCAGGCUCCCCAUAUGUUGCAAAUGGCAUCUUAACUGUUGUGCCCAAUACCCACCCACUCCCUAGACCUUUAUUUGAAGGUUUUCAAAACUGAUUAAGCUACUUCUCAGCUCUCUGCACGAUGGGCUGAGAAGGCAGCUUGCACAGAUCUGCUCCCAACUCCCUAGCUUUUGUUGCUGUUGUCUCCUUAUUUAUUUAGUCUUGGUAGGUUUGUGUCUUUCAAAAAAUUAUUGUCACUUGAGCGGUAGAAGUUAGCAAAAUUCUCAUGGUCAAUCUGCCAUUUUGAAGUAAAUGUCCUAGCUGAUUAAUACACAGUAGAAAAAAGAUCUAGGUUGUUGUCUAAUAAUAUAUUAUUUUCAGGCAUGAGCUCCCAUAGAAACAGAACUUUAAGAAAAAUGUAAUUAUUCUUUUUUAAAAAUAGAUUUAUUAUUUAUUUGAAAGGCAGAGUUACAGAGAGGCAGAGGCAGAGAGAGAGAAGAAAGGCUUCCAUCCACUGGUUCACUCCCCGAAUGGCUGCAAUGGCCAGUGUUGGGCCGAUCUGAAGCCAGGAGCCAGGAGCUUCUUCUGGAUCUCCCACGUGGUUGCUGGGGCCCAAGCACUUGGGCCAUCUUCUACUGCUUUCCUAAGCCUUAUCAGAGAGCUGGUGUUAGACCCUCAGAGUAAGGAUGCUAACACGUCGAAAGGCGCGCCCCAAAGACUCAGACUCCAGACCAGCUGAUGCAAAAGCAAGAGGAUUUAUUCGGCGUCUGUGCAGACGGGCCUCCUGAACUCGGGAGUCCAGAGAGCACCCCCAGCACAAAGCCACACGGUUUAUAUACCUGCAGCGACCAAUCAAAAGCACUAUAGUGUCCAUGCACACAGCAGUCCAAUCCGCGAGCUGAUCAUGUGAAGGGCAUGCGUCUUCUAUCCAAUCAGCUACGGGAUCACAUGAGAGGCAUGCACCUCGUCGCCAUUUUGUUGUUUACUUCUUCAGCAGUUCCUUUCCCUGCCAGCGCCAUCUUGUUCACCCUGAGGGGGGACGACGUCUCGCUCCCUUUUUUCCCCUGGUGGGAGAGCGGCGUCCCGCUUCCCACACCGUUAUUUGAGUAUUAGGAGGUAUACAAACUGGGUUAGGUCUUAGUACAGCCAGGCACAAGUGUCGCAGCUAGCUAACUAAGCAUAGGGUCCCUUAUUUUAUAGCUGCACCUAAUUUUAGCUUUGGGGGAAAAAGUUUAGGGCUGUAAUUUUAAACUUUAAUUUUUAUUUGGGGCAAAGGUGACUUCUUGUUUCUAAUGGUAUUGGCUUAGGUCACUCCAUCUUGGUUUGAUUUUUAAGGUUCUUCACUGGAUCAGAAGUGGAGUAGCUGGGACUUGAACCGGUGCCCAUAUGGGAUGCCGACACUGCAAGUGGCGGCUUUACCCGCUAUGCCACAGCAGGCCCCAAAUGUAAUUAUUCUUAUAACUCACAUUUUUUUUUCUGGGUGAAAAAGAUAUUUAUGGGGUAGUUAUCAUAAAUGAGUAAAACAUUUUUUUAAAUUAAAAUUUUUAAAAUUUAAGGAAAAAGAUUCAAUCUUAAAUUUUUGUUAGUAGUUAUAAAAUAUGUUCUCACUUAUUUUUACUUUAUCUGUACACUGUUGAACUGGGCAUUCUUGGUCACGGCUGUCUGCUGGCUGGCAUUACUAUUCUGAAAUAUACCUGUGCCUAUGAGGUUCCUGCAGGUUGGUUUUUGCUGCUGAGAAAACUGCCAUUACCAGCACUGCAUUUCAAUGACUUCCUGCAGGCAAACACCUGGAGGCAAUUGCCUGUGCUUGUCUGCUGGCAGACACAAAUAUGCUUCAGGAUAGGAAAAGUCUAUAUGUCUGAUUAAAAAAAAUGAGUCCACCUCCUUUGUGUAAUGUUUUACUUAUGUCUAGAUUAUCCAGUCUAGGAAUGUAUCCUUUAACUAAUUACAUGUUGGCCAAUCUAUUUUUUUUUUCAACAUAAGAAUUCCAAAUAUUAGUGAUUUUCUGCUGCCUUUACCUUCUGCCUGUUGUCAGAGAUCUUUUGAUUUCUUACAGGGUCCAGAAAUAAGAAAAAAUCAAUAAACUAUGUUUUAAUGUGAAAUGACAUUUUAACUUGAAUUUCUUUAAUCUCAGACUUUGCAGUCUAUUGGGAGAAGGACGGGGUUCAGCAGGAAGUGAGAGAACAUGUAAAAUUACAUCACACUUGCUUUUAAUAUACAUGUGGACUCAGUAAUAUUUUAUAUACUUGAAUUUAAAUUAUACCUUUAGAAGUAUCAGAAAUGUCAUCAAAACACUUUCAAAGGUUCAACAUUAUUUGUACUGAAUAAUAAUGAUUGAAUAUAUUUUUAUGGUUUUAUGCUCUGCUGAAGUUAGAGCAGACCAGAAAUCAUUAUGCAUGCAAGUAGGCCUUGGUUCUUACCAGUAUGACUUCAAAGUUUCACUUCUUUCUGAUUUUAUUCUUAUUCAGGCAAAACUAAAGAUGACUACCAAGAUCUGAAACUUCCUUUUUUCCUGCAUAACCAAAUCAUGAGACACAUUUGUACAAAAAGUUUAUUUCUUUCUCUCAUUCCUCUCUCUGCAAUAUCUCUCAUUUUUAGACUUAAGGUAACAUUGCUUUUUGUCUUGUUAAUUUAAAAUUUUUUUCUUACAACUUAUAAUCACAGCUUCCUAGAGCUUUUAUCCUCAUUUUAUAACUGGUCCCAACAGUUCCAUUCCUCCUUAGCAUUUCUUCCGAAUUUCUACUCCACAUGUUAUUAAUGCAUAAAGUCUCUAUUUUGUUCAUACAAAGCCUCUGAGAGCUCCUGUAAAAAUAUUACUGUAGAUAAAUCCUAUCUUCCCAUGGUCAUAGUUAGCUAUUGCACUUACACACAAGGACUUGAUGCUAAAUAAAGCAAGGGUAUGACCAACAAUAUGCUGUAAAAAAUAAUGACUACAAGUCUCCUUACGUACUUAAAAUAUGAAAGCACUUUGUUCCAGGUCCGACGGAAUUUUAGAACGGGUAGGAAACGCAGAGAUGGUGGAGUUUAACACAGGUAGGGCAAGGGAGCCGCAGCCUGGCGAGGUUUCAUGUUCUUACAUGGCUUUAGCCUCACGAGCAGGAUCGGUAUAACCAUGUGCAGCUGUGCGUCGCUGAGCACCAGGAAUGCAGAGAAAUGUGUCCUUGGGUGAUGGCGUCAUUGUGCGGACAUCACACAAAGCAAGGUGGCUGCAGGGCUACGGGGCCAAGUGAUCUUAGGGGACCAGCGCUGCACGUGCGGCUUCUUCACUGACCGACCGGUCGCUGUGUGUGCAUGAGUGUGUGUGUGUGUGUGUGUGUGUUGUUUGCUAGGAGGAAAUCUGUGCUGAAGAGGAUUCCAUCAGACUCUCUGUGACGGCUUGAUGAAGAGUAAGUCAUUUCCUUCUUCUCUUGGAGUGCCCCACCGUCACCUGCUGUCCACACAGGACUGGCCGCCGCCCUCCUCUCAUGCUGCUGUCCUUCCGCCUUAUGGAACCCUGCAGAGAGGCAGCUCCUGGGCGAUGGGUGCUCCCUCCUUGAUUCAGUUUCCUUCCUCCGCACCUUCCCAGUACUUGGUGCUAUGGACUCUAGCGUGGGGAGGAAUGGGCUUUCUCUGGUCUUCAAUGGAGGCUAUUCUCCGGCUGACUGACUUUCUGCUAACUACCUCUGCAUUAGCACUACUUGAGAAUAAGGUCAGCUUAUCCUCACUACGGCCUUAGAAUAACGGGGGAGCUCCCAGGCCACCUGAUUGCUGCUCUACCCCACCGAGUGUUAGAACUCUAAACUGCCAAAGACGACACAAAAGAAUCUACACCUUUUCUCUCUCCUUUCUACUGCAUGUAAGGGUUUUGAGUAGGGACUGUGUCAGUUAGCUUUUGCUGCAUAACAAAUGACCCCCAAAAUCCAGUAGCUUGGAAUAAUACUCAUUUAUUGAGCCCACAAUCCUGCAGGUUGGCAGCUUCGAUGGGUUUAUCGGGGCAGCUUCUCUGGUCUUGGCUGAGUUCGCUUGUGUGUGGUCAGCUGCUGGGUUGGCUGGAAGCUGGCUUAUGACCUCAGCUGGCUGCCUCUUAUCUUCACGAGGUCUCUCUUCUAGCAGGCCAGCCUGCUCUUCCUUUGAUCUGGAUUUGGUGGCUGUAACAAACGCAAGAGAAAGAACCAGAAUGCACAAGCUCUCUUGAGGUCUUGGCUUGGAAAUGGUACAUGACUCUGACAUAUUUUGUUUGUCAAAGCAAAUCAUAAGGCCAGCCAAGUAGAGAAAUCGACUCCAAAUUUUGAUGGGAGAAGUUGCAAAGUUAUAAAGCAAAGGGUUGUGAAUGCAAGAAGAGAAAUAAUUGCUUCCGCUCUACCAAAGCAAUCACAGAGCAUCCAGUAAAACCUCUGUACAGUAUCAAUAUUGGCUAAAUAAAGGCAUGUCUCUGAGGGAAAAAGCAGGCCAGAAACAACCAACAUCACAAAAAGCCCCCUGGGUAUUUGAAAAGAUUUGGUAGUUCACAAAAGGGGACUAAGUUGGAGUAACAAACUCCUCUUCCUCACCGACUUCUUCACUUACUACAAGAAACAAGAGUAUUCCAAAAUCCCUGAUCUGUGUUGCCAAUGUGAUUUGAGAGCACAUUAUAUUUAUUAAAGUAAGGAUAUAAAGUGAUAGAAAAGGAAGAGGCUGAGGAUAGGACAAAUGAAUUAAGUGUUCUGCUGUUCUUGUGUUUUCCAGAAAGAAAAUAAAGGUUAUUAGUACUAGAGCCUGCUCUAAUGUGUAGGCUAGUCACUAAAAUGAUAAUCAAUGAGUAUAUUGCCUCCGGUGGCCGGUGUUGUGGCACGACAGAUUAAGCUGCCAUCGGCAACACCGGCAUCUCAUAUCAGAAUGCAGGCUCCAGUCCCAGCUACUCCACUUCUGACCCAGGUCCCUGAUAAUGCACCUGGGAAGGCUGCAGAAAAUGGUCCAAGUCCUUGGGCCCCUGCAGCCAUGUGGGAGAAGCUCCUGGCUUUGGACUGGCCCAGCCCAAGCUGUUUUUCUUCUCCUCCCCUCACAUCCCCUCCUCUCCCCUGUCCUCCCCAAUGACUCUUCCCUCAGGAUGGAUGACAGGUAAGGAAUGGUUUAAACAAAGCUGAUUAAAAACAAAAGUUCGGUGCCAGCGCUUUGGUGUAGCAGGUAAAGCCACCGCCUGCAGUGCUGGCAUCCCAUAUGGGCACCGGUUCUAGUCCCGGCAGCUCCUCUUCCGAUCCAGCUUUCUGCUAUGGCCUGGGAUGGUGGUGGAGGAUAGCCCAAGUCCUUGGGGCUCCGCACCCACAUGGCAGACCCAGAAGAAGCUCCUGGCUCCUGGCUUCUGGUUUCAAAUUAGUGCAGCUCUGGCUGUUGUGGCCAUCUGGGGAAUGAACCUGCAGAUGGAAGACCCCUCUCUCUCUCUCUCUGUGCCUCUCCUUCUCUCUCUGUGUAACUCUGACUUUCAAAUAAAUAAAUUUAAAAAAAUUUAUAACCAGUUCACAACAUUUUAAGCAGGUGUUUUUGGAGAGCUGCAUUUUACUUUCUUGAGUGAAGCUGUUUUGGAGAGCAGUGGAGCCCUAGGUAGACUGCGUGGUUGGGUGUGCUGCCUCCAAGGCUGGUGAACUCCAACCCUCGUCCCAGCUGGGGAGGCGCCGCCCACGGGGAACUGAGAUGGCAGGCUGGUGUGAACAGUUCUGUCGCACUAGCUGCCAGUGUUUUACCCCAGUUGUCCAUCCGUCACGGCUGUGCAGCCUGGCACACGCAGGGAAGACCCCUGUGCAGCUGUCCUGCCUGGUCACCAAGAGUGACAAUUCCAGGGCAGCCAGAGGCUCUCCCGUCCUGUUGUUCCGAGCGCAAGGAUCCACACCCUGGCUGAUGGCGGGGCUGUGAGCUGCAGUCUUCACUCUGCUGCCCCUACGGCUGACGUCUCUAGUGGUGGUUUCAGCAAAUCGCGGGGAAGCUCAUUCCAUACUGGUUCUGAGAAGUUUGGGGAUAAGAAUUAUGCCAUUCCUAGACAGAGGGCGAAAGAACGCGAAAUUCAGCCUAACUCCAGGGCCUUUCUCAAAUCAGUAACUCUCCCCCAUAUCAGUGAGAACAAUUUUAAUAAACUCUUCAAAGCAGAAGUGGGCUAGAGACUUUCUGAUCACAGUGCUAUAAGUGCAACAAAAGGUUUACAACCAAAAAAAAAAAAAGAAUUAAAAAAACCCCUCCUUCUCUCCUUCUUCCUUGAAGUCUAUUCGGAAAUAUUUUUUUUAAGAUUUAUUUGAAAGUCAGAGUUACACAGAGAGAGAAGAGAUGCAGAGAGACAGAGAGAGAGAGGUCUUCCAUCCAAUGGUUCAUUCUCCGAAUGGCCGCAACGGCCGGAACUGCGCCGAUCCGAAGCCAGGAGCCAGGAGCUUCUUCUGGGUCUCCCGCGUGGGUGCAGGGGCCCAAGCACUUGGGCCAUCAUCUACUGCUAUCCCAGGCCACAGCAGAAAGCUGGAUCAGAAGAGGAGUAGCUGGGACUAGAACUGGAGCCCAUCUGGGAUGCCGGCACUUCAGGCCAGGGCGUUAACCCACUGAACCACAGCGCCAGCCCCCGGAAAUAUUAAAAUAUCUUCCUAAGUAAGAUUUGAGUCCAAAAAAAUUACAUAUGCAAUUAUAGAUUAAAACAUCAUUAAUGUAUUUGGACAUGGAUAUAAGGAAAACAUUUCCGAUCAAUACAACUCAAACUGUACACUGUGGAAUAAAUAAGUGUCUUCAGGAUCUGGCCAAUGGGGACAAAGAUUCCGUGACACAGGACAGACAAGUUCAGGGGGCCGAUUUAUCGCAUGGUGACAACAGUUCACAUAUUGUGUAUGUGACAGUUACUAAGAGUAGAUGUUAGCCAUGUUCUAAUCAUGGCGUAAUAAUGAAUAUGUGAGGGGCUGGCACUGUGGCACAGCAGGUAAAGCCGCCACCUGCAAUACUGGCAUUCCAUUUGGGUGCUAGUUCGAGUCCCGGCUGCUCCACUUCUGAUCCAGCUCUCUGCUAUGGCCUGGGAAAGCAGUGGAAGAUGGUCCAAGUCCUUGGGCCCCUGCACCUGCUUGGGAGACCCAGAAGAAGCUCCUGGCUCCUGACUUCAGAUUGGCGCAGCUCUGGUGAUUGAGGCCAUUUGGAACGUAAACCAGCAGAUAGAAGACCUCAGACCUCUCUCUCUCUCUCUCUCUCUCUCUCUCUCUCUCUCUUUCUGCCUCUGCCUCUCUGUAACUCUGCCUUUCAAAUAAAAUAAAUAAAUCUUUAAAAUAAAGAAUGUGUGAGGUGAUGGUUAUGUUGUUCAGCUUUAUCAACCAUGUCACUAUCUACGUAUCUGUACGUAUGGUUAUCAAAAUCUCGCACUGCACGGUAUACUAUAUAAUUUUUAUUUGUCGAGUAUACCAUAACACAAUCUUAAAUGCCUUUUAAAAUCUUUCAGUCAGAAAAAAAUACUGCAAUGUUUAACUAAAAAAGCUGAUAUCACAUCAACCUAAGAAAAGGAAGAGGAAAUGAAUAUUAAAUUUAGAACUUAGUCGGCCGGAACCGUGGCUCACUAGGCUAAUCCUCCGCCUUGCGGCGCCGGCACACCGGGUUCUAGUCCCGGUCGGGGAGCCAGAUUCUGUCCCGGUUGCCCCUCUUCCAGGCCAGCUCUCUGCUGUGGCCAGGGAGUGCAGUGGAGGAUGGCCCAAGUCCUUGUGCCCUGCACCCCAUGGGAGACCAAGAUAAGUACCUGGCUCCUGCCAUUGGAUCAGCGCGGUGUGGCAGCCGCGACGGCCAUUGGAGGGUGAACCAACAGCAAAGGAAGACCUUUCUCUCUAUCUCUCUCU